AUGACCGUUGUAGAUGAUUUAAAGGCGUUCAUGACAGGCAGGACCACGCGCCUCAUCCUGGCGCACGGCACGGGCCACAGCGGGUGGUGCUGGUACAAGGUGGCCACCCUGCUCCGCGUCGCAGGGCACUGCGUGGAUGCGUCGGACCUCGCAGCCUGCGGCGCCAACGCGCGCCGGCUGCGCAACACGCCCACCUUCGAGGACUACACCCGCCCAUUGUUGGACGCGCUCCGCGACUUCCCGGACGGCGAGAGGGCGGUGGAAGUGGACCACAACUUCGGCGGGAUGAGCAUCAUGCUCGCAUCCGAGGAGUUCCCUGACAAGGUCGCGGCCGCCGUGUUCGUCACCGCCUUCAUGCCGGACUGCGCCAGCCCACGCAGCCGGCGCCGCAAAAGUCGGGACGCUCGAUUUGCUACUGGCACCCACUGGUCGCCAUGUGCAUGA
rnacentral:rRNA from 1 species